CUCUUCCUCCACUACCACCACCACUACCACCUCUUCUUUCUUCCUUACAAAGCAAACAAUUAUUCCUCGUUUUCUAUGACGUGUUUCCUUCUCACAGAAAACGAAAAGCGACAGAAAAUGGAGGUGGGCUUUUCAAAUUGUCUUCCUGUCUUCCUAUUGGUUCUCACAGCGUGCCAGGAAGUGACGUCACAGAGAUUUUGGACCUUUCAGCGCCCGGAGUGCGUUAUAUCAGCUGAUCCCACUAAACACCCUGUUGUACGUGGCAAUGUGAACUGGAUUAACCUUUUGAAUGUCCACGGAAUGUCUAGCAUCUUUUAUCUCGCUUUCCGCGGCCACACGUUCCACAAGGAGGGUGACUGUGAGAUCAAGCAACGCCACUUGUACAAGGUCACCAAGUUUAAUGCCACCUCCUUUGCCUUCGAUCCCCUCUCACGCCAAGACACCAAGAUAGUUUGCAGUAAAAAUUUUGGGCUUCAAGAUAAGGCGUUUGGGUUCAUCUCCUGCGCGAAAGACGAGGAAGAGGCGCACAAAGCCGCUGAGGCGUGGCUGGACAGUCUACCCUUCCCCUACACGUGGGAGCUGGUGUGGAGUGGUGUGGGCUUGGGCAUGGUGGCGCUGGUGGUUGUGGUGGUCUUCCUCAUUGUACGGCACAAGAGAACACACCAAGCCUCAUUACGUGUGACUUGAGUGCGUGUGCGUGUGUGUGUGCGUGUGUUGUUACCUGUUCAUGUGUUCACAGGAUUGAGUCAAGUUUGUAAUGUUCAGUUUUUUUUUGUUAUUGUUAUAUUUAUUUUUACAGUUGGUGUUCCCUUUCUCGCUUCUGUCACCUCUUCUGUUUAUAUUUAUCAAGUCUUGGUGUGCAUUUCUUGUUUCCAUCAGCUUUUUUUGUCAAUAUUUUAUCAAGUUUUCCGUCAGUUAAUGUAUAUUUCUCGUCUGCAUCACCUUUCCAGUCAAUAUUUAUCGUCUCCCUGUUAACUGGUGUACAUGUCUCGCUUCUGUCACCUCUUCUGUUUACAUUUAUCAAGUUUUUCCGUCAGGUUAGUGGACAUUUCUCGUCUGCAUCACCUUUCCAGUCAAUAUUUAUCGUCUCCCUGUUAACUGGUGUACAUGUCUCGCUUCUGUCACCUCUUCUGUUUACAUUUUAUCAAGUUUUUCCGUUAAUUGGUGUAUAUUUCUCGUCUACAUCACCUUUCCAGUCAAUAUUUAUCGUCUACCCUGUUAACUGGUGUACAUGUCUCGCUUCUGUCACCUCUUCUGUUUACAUUUAUCAAGUUUUUCCGUUAAUUUCUGGUCUCCAUCACCUUUUCUGUCUAUAUUUUAUUGUCUUGGUGUACAUUUCUCGCUUCUGUCACCCCUUCUGUUUGUAAUUAUCAAGUCUUCCCGUCAGCUGGUGCCCACUCCCCACUUCUAUCAACUCUCGUCUUUCCUGUACACCCCUUGUCUAUAUCAGUCUUUCCUGAGUGUGUGUGUGUGUGUGUGUGUUCGUGUCCUAAUAAUAUAUUCAUUUUUUUAAUAAUGUACAGUAAUUGUAAUAAAAAAGAAAGAAAAACAAGAUUAUUAUUUUUUGUUUUCUUUUUAUCAAUCCUUCAAACUGCUACAUUUAUUCACUUACAAAUAUGAAAAAAGAGAAAAAAAGGAGGAAAAACAGAAAUUGGAGAGUGAGAGAGAGAGAGAGAGAGAGAGAGAGAGAGAGAGAGAGAGAGAGAGAGAGAGAGAA